rnacentral:rRNA from 1 species
AUUGAACGCUGGCGGCAUGCUUUACACAUGCAAGUCGAACGGCAGCGCGGGCUUCGGCCUGGCGGCGAGUGGCGAACGGGUGAGUAAUACAUCGGAACGUGCCCAGUAGUGGGGGAUAGCUCGGCGAAAGCCGGAUUAAUACCGCAUACGACCUGAGGGUGAAAGCGGGGGAUCUUCGGACCUCGCGCUAUUGGAGCGGCCGAUGGCAGAUUAGCUAGUUGGUGGGGUAAAGGCCUACCAAGGCGACGAUCUGUAGCUGGUCUGAGAGGACGACCAGCCACAGGGGGACGGAGCCGCGCCCCAGACUCCUCGGGGGGGCGGAGGGGGGGAUUUGGGAACAAGGGGCGAAAGCUUGACCCAAAAUGCCGGGGGGGGGGAUGAGGCCUUGCGGGCUAAAAGGCUGUUUUGGGGGAAACGAAAAGAACUGUCCAAAAACCACGGUGCGAGGACGGUCCCCGAAAAAAAAGCCCCGGCAAACUACGUC